AUUGAACGCUGGCGGCAGGCCUAGCACAUGCAAGUCGAGCGGAUGAAGGGAGCUUGCUCCUGGAUUCAGCGGCGGACGGGUGAGUAAUGCCUAGGAAUCUGCCUGGUAGUGGGGGAUAACGUCCGGAAACGGGCGCUAAUACCGCAUACGUCCUGAGGGAGAAAGUGGGGGAUCUUCGGACCUCACGCUAUCAGAUGAGCCUAGGUCGGAUUAGCUAGUUGGUGGGGUAAAGGCCUACCAAGGCGACGAUCCGUAACUGGUCUGAGAGGAUGAUCAGUCACACUGGAACUGAGACACGGUCCAGACUCCUACGGGAGGCAGCAGUGGGGAAUAUUGGACAAUGGGCGAAAGCCUGAUCCAGCCAUGCCGCGUGUGUGAAGAAGGUCUUCGGAUUGUAAAGCACUUUAAGUUGGGAGGAAGGGCAGUAAGUUAAUACCUUGCUGUUUUGACGUUACCAACGGAAUAAGCACCGGCUAACUUCGUG
rnacentral:rRNA from 1 species